AUUUACGUCAAAUAUCACGUAGCUCAUCCUUAUUCUCAAAACCUCAAAAGUUACGUGUUUUCAGUAACUGUCACUCGAAAACCACGUCGUAUGUACCGCCAUGUUGAGUUAAACCCACCUUAUUUUCACGUAAAUCAUUUCAAUGCGUUUGUGUUGGUGUACUUCCUACUUGGAAGUUUCCGCGAAACGAAAGUUACGUGAAUUUCAGGUGUGCAAAAACAAUUCAAUAUGGCGUCGAGAAGUAGGUUGACACAAGAACUGCAUGCUGAUUAAGAGUUUCUGUGCAAGUUGCUGCAAAUAUUGAGGAGCUGAAAUAAGUAUCUGACGGAGGUUCAGUUCAGUGAAUCGGCUGGACCUUGGGCUGGACUUCGAAGAUUUUUCGUCAAAACCCCGAGAUUUGUUUUGUAUUAUCCCAUCUCAAAGGAUCAGAAACUUAUGUAGAUGGGCUUUGGACGAAGGUGUAGAUUUAUUAAUUACUCCAAAAUAAUAAAACAAACUAAUAAGA